UACGUAGGUGGCAAGCGUUGUCCGGAUUUAUUGGGUGUAAAGGGUGCGUAGACGGUUAUUCAAGUUAGAUGUGAAAUUUCUAGGCUCAACUUAGAAAGUGCAUCUAAAACUAAAUGACUUAAGAGUGCAGAAGGGGUAAGUGGAAUUCCUAGUGUAGCGGUAAAAUGCGUAGAUAUUAGGAGGAACACCAGUGGCGAAGGCGACUUACUGGUCUGUAACUGACGUUGAGGCACGAAAGUGUGGGGAGCAAACAGG
rnacentral:rRNA from 1 species